AGUGAACGCUGGCGGUAGGCCUAACACAUGCAAGUCGAACGGCAGCACAGUAAGAGCUUGCUCUUACGGGUGGCGAGUGGCGGACGGGUGAGGAAUACAUCGGCAUCUACUUUUUCGUGGGGGAUAACGUAGGGAAACUGACGCUAAUACCGCAUACGACCUACGGGUGAAAGCAGUGGAGCUUCGGACCUUGCGCGAUUGAAUGAGCCGAUGUCGGAUUAGCUAGUUGGCGGGGUAAAGGCCCACCAAGGCGACGAUCCGUAGCUGGUCUGAGAGGAUGAUCAGCCACACUGGAACUGAGACACGGUCCAGACUCCUACGGGAGGCAGCAGUGGGGAAUAUUGGACAAUGGGCGCAAGCCUGAUCCAGCCAUACCGCGUGGGUGAAGAAGGCCUUCGGGUUGUAAAGCCCUUUUGUUGGGAAAGAAAAGCAGCAGGUUAAUACCCCGCUGUUCUGACGGUACCCAAAGAAUAAGCACCGGCUAACUUCGUG
rnacentral:rRNA from 1 species